rnacentral:rRNA from 1 species
CCUUGUGCUAUUGGAAUGGCCGAUAUCUGAUUAGCUAGUUGGUAGGGUAAAAGCCUACCAAGGCGACGAUCAGUAGCUGGUCUGAGAGGACGACCAGCCACACUGGAACUGAGACACGGUCCAGACUCCUACGGGAGGCAGCAGUGGGGAAUUUUGGACAAUGGGGGCAACCCUGAUCCAGCAAGGCCGCGUGAGUGAAGAAGGCCCUCGGGUGUAAAUCUAUAGGUCAGGGAAGAAACGGAGUUCUCUAAUAUA